GAUGAACGCUGGCGGCGUGCCUAAUACAUGCAAGUCGAGCGAACAGACGAGGAGCUUGCUCCUCUGACGUUAGCGGCGGACGGGUGAGUAACACGUGGAUAACCUACCUAUAAGACUGGGAUAACUUCGGGAAACCGGAGCUAAUACCGGAACAUAUAUUGAACCGCAUGGUUCAAUAGUAAAAGACGGUUUUGCUGUCACUUAUAGAUGGAUCCGCGCCGCAUUAGCUAGUUGGUAAGGUAACGGCUUACCAAGGCAACGAUGCGUAGCCGACCUGAGAGGGGGAUCGGCCACCCUGGAACGGAGACACGGUCCAGACUCCUACGGGAGGCAGCAGUAGGGAAUCUUCCGCAAUGGGCGAAAGCCUGACGGAGCAACGCCGCGUGAGUGAGGAAGGUCUUCGGAUCGUAAAACUCUGUUAUUAGGGAAGAACAAAUGUGUAAGUAACUAUGCACGUCUUGACGGUACCUAAUCAGAAAGCCACGGCUAACUACGUG
rnacentral:rRNA from 1 species